rnacentral:rRNA from 1 species
AUUGAACGCCGGCGGCAUGCCUUACACAUGCAAGUCGAACGGUAACGGGCCUUCGGGUGCCGACGAGGGGCGAACGGGUGAGUAAUAUAUCGGAACGUACCUUUCAGUGGGGGAUAACGUAGCGAAAGUUACGCUAAUACCGCAUAUUCUGUGCGCAGGAAAGCAGGGGACCUUCGGGCCUUGCGCUGAUUGAGCGGCCGAUAUCAGAUUAGCUAGUUGGUGAGGUAAAGGCUCACCAAGGCGACGAUCUGUAGCGGGUCUGAGAGGAUGAUCCGCCACACUGGAACUGAGACACGGUCCAGACUCCUACGGGAGGCAGCAGUGGGGAAUUUUGGACAAUGGGGGCAACCCUGAUCCAGCCAUGCCGCGUGAGUGAAGAAGGCCUUCGGGUUGUAAAGCUCUUUCGGCCGGGAAGAAAUCGUAUGGGCUAAUACCCUGUGCGGAUGACGGUACCGGCAUAAGAAGCACCGGCUAACUACGUGCCAGCCGCCGCCGUAACAC